UGUUUCAUGGAAUCCCGGAGUCAGAUGC
rnacentral:sRNA from 1 species